rnacentral:rRNA from 1 species
AAAUUGAAGAGUUUGAUCAUGGCUCAGAUUGAACGCUGGCGGCAGGCCUAACACAUGCAAGUCGAGCGGUAGCACAGAGAGCUUGCUCUCGGGUGACGAGCGGCGGACGGGUGAGUAAUGUCUGGGAAACUGCCUGAUGGAGGGGGAUAACUACUGGAAACGGUAGCUAAUACCGCAUAAUGUCGCAAGACCAAAGUGGGGGACCUUCGGGCCUCAUGCCAUCAGAUGUGCCCAGAUGGGAUUAGCUAGUAGGUGGGGUAACGGCUCACCUAGGCGACGAUCCCUAGCUGGUCUGAGAGGAUGACCAGCCACACUGGAACUGAGACACGGUCCAGACUCCUACGGGAGGCAGCAGUGGGGAAUAUUGCACAAUGGGCGCAAGCCUGAUGCAGCCAUGCCGCGUGUGUGAAGAAGGCCUUCGGGUUGUAAAGCACUUUCAGCGGGGAGGAAGGCGAUAAGGUUAAUAACCUCAUCGAUUGACGUUACCCGCAGAAGAAGCACCGGCUAACUCCGUGCCAGCAGCCGCGGUAAUACGGAGGGUGCAAGCGUUAAUCGGAAUUACUGGGCGUAAAGCGCACGCAGGCGGUCUGUCAAGUCGGAUGUGAAAUCCCCGGGCUCAACCUGGGAACUGCAUUCGAAACUGGCAGGCUAGAGUCUUGUAGAGGGGGGUAGAAUUCCAGGUGUAGCGGUGAAAUGCGUAGAGAUCUGGAGGAAUACCGGUGGCGAAGGCGGCCCCCUGGACAAAGACUGACGCUCAGGUGCGAAAGCGUGGGGAGCAAACAGGAUUAGAUACCCUGGUAGUCCACGCCGUAAACGAUGUCGAUUUGGAGGUUGUGCCCUUGAGGCGUGGCUUCCGGAGCUAACGCGUUAAAUCGACCGCCUGGGGAGUACGGCCGCAAGGUUAAAACUCAAAUGAAUUGACGGGGGCCCGCACAAGCGGUGGAGCAUGUGGUUUAAUUCGAUGCAACGCGAAGAACCUUACCUGGUCUUGACAUCCACAGAACUUUCCAGAGAUGGAUUGGUGCCUUCGGGAACUGUGAGACAGGUGCUGCAUGGCUGUCGUCAGCUCGUGUUGUGAAAUGUUGGGUUAAGUCCCGCAACGAGCGCAACCCUUAUCCUUUGUUGCCAGCGGUCCGGCCGGGAACUCAAAGGAGACUGCCAGUGAUAAACUGGAGGAAGGUGGGGAUGACGUCAAGUCAUCAUGGCCCUUACGACCAGGGCUACACACGUGCUACAAUGGCAUAUACAAAGAGAAGCGACCUCGCGAGAGCAAGCGGACCUCAUAAAGUAUGUCGUAGUCCGGAUUGGAGUCUGCAACUCGACUCCAUGAAGUCGGAAUCGCUAGUAAUCGUAGAUCAGAAUGCUACGGUGAAUACGUUCCCGGGCCUUGUACACACCGCCCGUCACACCAUGGGAGUGGGUUGCAAAAGAAGUAGGUAGCUUAACCUUCGGGAGGGCGCUUACCACUUUGUGAUUCAUGACUGGGGUGAAGUCGUAACAAGGUAACCGUAGGGGAACCUGCGGUUGGAUCACCUCCUUA